rnacentral:lncRNA from 1 species
ACACACACACUUAUUCAAUUCACAUCAUUUUCUCAUAUCUCUUGCCUUGUCUCUGUCUGUUAUGACAUCAUUCAGUAUCUGUUUACUGUUAACAAGCAUAAGAUGGAAAUUACACAACAGAGAAACAGUAGGACAGGAUAUUACCAUGGUUUGAUUGUUUUCAGCGUUUGAUUCCACUAAUUUUAGUAGGAGACCGAAAUUCUUGAAUCUCCUGUUCUGAGUUGGAGCAAUCACCCAUAAUGAAUUCUGAGUUGGUGGGUAUGGGUUGAUUGGACUUGACCCCAGUUGAAGUUGAAGCCUACAGGUCUGGCGGCCGGGAAGAAUCAAUGAAUCGGUUGAGUUGAUGCGCUCACUUCGCAUGAAUGGCAGUUGGGUUUUGAGAAAAGUCCUGAUAAUUGGGUAAUUCUAUUUCUUUCUUUGUCUGUUGAUGCACCAACAGAGAGCUGAAUUAAUUAACCGAGAGAGACAAAAACCCAACUUCUUUAAUGCCCUCAAUUGGGAUUUGGGACCAGUUCUUCAAACCAAACUGGACCCAUCCUCAAUCUGCUCCCACCUUUUAUGAAAGCCCAAUUAGGGCUGUUUUUAAUUUCUUUCUUCUUUCUCAAGCUGAGAUUUAAUGUCAAUAAAACCAGCCAAUCAUUCGAAGUUGGUCUAAACAAGCCAAGCUUUAUUUAGCUAGUUCAAUUUUCAAUGAUUGGAAGCUCUGUUUCCUCUUAUUUGCUUCAUUUCCAAUUGAGCUAUUUUAUAUUCUCACCAGUACUUCACGCUUAGUACAGUAGUUGAAAGAGAUUUAAGGGAUAUGUGACCAAAGGUCUGAAUACAAAGGUUAAGAUGAAGAAUUGAAGAUUGAUUCAAGUACUUGACUUCAACAUCAAAUCAAGGAAGGGUUGCUGAUGAGCC